UAUAUGACAGCUGCAAUAUUAGACUGAAUACUAAUUCAAAGCUUCUUUAAUAACCCAUAUUUAAAUGUAAAAUGUGUGAGCUUAAAUAUCACAACUCAAAUGUUUAGAUCUCUCUCAAGCUAAUUAUCAACAAUUUCUCUUUGUGUGCUUUUUGAGCAUUGGGUGGUGUACCCCAGAGGAUUAUGAUGGCUAUUCCUUAAAGGUAUUCAAUAUUCACUUUAGCAGCGGUGGUUUAAGGGUAAAGCGCAUGAAUGCACCAAUUCCAUUGAGCCGUCCGUGCACUUUAGGAUCUGAUACUCAUCCAGUUCACACUUGGAAGUCCCAUUUUGGGCUUCAAGGAGGUGUAAACUAUCUGUCGCACCUCCGCAGCGUACUGCCGAGGCCCGCCACGAGCGGCGAUUAUCACGGCGGAAAGGAAUAGUGAACAGCCGCGGAACUGUUGCGGCGAUAGAUCUCCGGCUUAUUAGAACAAAGACGAUUACAAAAACAGUCCAAAAUGAGCCGUGGUAGGCCCAAUCGCUCUUCGAGAUUUCAUGGUAAGCGCUCUCUCUCUCUCUCUUCUCGUAGGAUUUGCCGUUUUAGAAUUAUCAAGUUUGAGGCUCAUGUUAAGGCCCAGCAUUUGAAGGUUAGGAUAUUUAGAGUCCAAACUUUAAGGCACUUGUUCAUGGUGAUAAGCUCCUUGACCCACUAGAUGAGGUUUAUAUGAAUGGGUUACACAAAUAAGCUUAGCUAUUUCGGUGCCAUUUGAAAAGUUGUGCAGAAAUAUCUUUGAGAUAGAAGUUGGAGUUUGAUUUCGGGCGAAUGUCACAAAAUUCGCCUUGCCAAAACUAAUGACGGAUCACCAGGAAUUUCUGAUGAGAUGAGGUUGCAAUAAAUUUUGGCGAAUCACCAAGAGUAUAGUACAAGUUGUAUUGUAACAUUGCAAUAAUUUAUUCAUAAAUUGCGGUGGAGCACUAGGAGUGUUGUUAGGACUUAAAUAUAAAUAGUGUCGUAAGUUCAGAAUGAAGUUUAUGGGAAAUUUUACAAAUACGUUUUUUUUUUAAAGGAUUACAGCACAUGUCACUUGACCUAAUAGCCCAACCGAAAAUGGCUCAUAUUUGAAGCUCUUACCCUAUUUAGCCCAUAUUUUACAUAAUUUGAAAGAAACUUUUCAGCCUUUAACCCACUAUUAAAGACAUAGUUUAGGGUUUUUAUUAUUUUCUUCUUUCCUCAUUCCCUUCUCUCUCACCGCCUCUCACUUCUUUCUUUCUAACCCACAUAGAUCCCUCAUCCUCUCUUAAAAUUAGCCAUUAGCAAUGUAUUAUGCUUCUCUUA